GACGAACGCUGGCGGCGUGCUUAACACAUGCAAGUCGAACGGAAAGGCCCUGCUUUUGUGGGGUGCUCGAGUGGCGAAGGGGUGAGUAACACGUGAGUAACCUGCUCUUCACUUUGGGAUAACUUCAGGAAACUGGGGUUAAUAUCGGAUAGGAGCUCCCGCUGCAUGGUGGGGGUUGGAAAGUUUCGGCGGUUGGGGCUGGACUCGCGGCUUACCAGUUUGUUGGUGGGGUGGUGGCUUACCAAGGCUUUGACGGGUAGCCCGCCUGAGAGGGUGACCGGCGACAUUGGGACUGAGAGAGGGCCCAGUCUGCUACAGGGGGCAGCGGUGGGGAAUAUUGCACAAUGGGCGGAAGCCUGAUGCAGCAACGCCGCGUGCGGAAUGACGGCCUUCGGGUUGUAAACCGCUUUCGCCUGUGACGACGCGUGAGUGACGGUAAUGGGUGAAGAAGCACCGGCUAACUACGUG
rnacentral:rRNA from 1 species